AGAGGCCAUGGCUCAAUGGAAGAGCGUCUGCUUUUUAUGCAGGAAGUCCCAGGUUCAAUCCCUGGUGCCUCCA